ACCCACCUUUUUCUGAUCUUUUGCAAUUCAAAUUCUCUCUCGUCUCCCUCUUUCCCAGAUAAUAAACUAUUGAAUAGAAGUUUUUCCAGUGUUUUCAUGCAAUACAAAAUCCCAUUUUUGUCAUGUCAUGAAAGAAGACAUAUAUCACACAUGCAAGAAAAAAACAUGAAAGAAAUAAGAGUUUAAUGAAGAGAUAUUGUUUAUAAUCAGCCUCCUUCAAGUUUUGAAAUCACAUUCUCCAUUGGUGUUUCUCCUGGCUGCUGUGUCAUUCCACUUGUCCAAGAAAUAAAGAAUCUUCUUCUUGAUUCAGGACAUUUCUCACUUGACCUCUACGUACCUUGGACUAUUGAGAUCUGCACUGGUCACAGGUUAAGGACAUUCCUAUUCUGGCUUUUCCCAGGAUGAGAAAACUGAGGCCCAGAGAGUUAAAGUGACAUAUUCAGGACCACAGAAAGAAUAAGUAAAGAAGAAAGGAUUUGAAUUUGAGUCUUCUGACUCCAAAUUCUAUCAAGAUAUUUCUAAGGGUACAUAAGAUGGCAAAAAUGUGCAGGUCUUUUGUAAUAAAGAGCUAUUCUAAAUAAAAAGUUCUUCA
rnacentral:lncRNA from 1 species